GGAUUAGAUACCCUGGUAGUCCACGCCGUAAACGAUGAGAACUAGACGUUGGGCCCCAAUGAGGGUUUAGUGUCGAAGCUAACGCGAUAAGUUCUCCGCCUGGGGAGUACGGCCGCAAGGUUAAAACUCAAAGAAAUUGACGGGGACCCGCACAAGCGGUGGAGUAUGUGGUUUAAUUCGAUGCUACGCGAAGAACCUUACCUACUCUUGACAUCCAGAGAAGCUCGGGUAAUGCUGAGUGUGCCUUCGGGAACUCUGAGACAGGUGCUGCAUGGCUGUCGUCAGCUCGUGCCG
rnacentral:rRNA from 1 species